rnacentral:rRNA from 1 species
AGAGUUUGAUCCUGGCUCAGGAUGAACGCUAGCUACAGGCUUAACACAUGCAAGUCGAGGGGCAGCAUGGUCUUAGCUUGCUAAGGCCGAUGGCGACCGGCGCACGGGUGAGUAACACGUAUCCAACCUGCCGUCUACUCUUGGACAGCCUUCUGAAAGGAAGAUUAAUACAAGAUGGCAUCAUGAGUCCGCAUGUUCACAUGAUUAAAGGUAUUCCGGUAGACGAUGGGGAUGCGUUCCAUUAGAUAGUAGGCGGGGUAACGGCCCACCUAGUCUUCGAUGGAUAGGGGUUCUGAGAGGAAGGUCCCCCACAUUGGAACUGAGACACGGUCCAAACUCCUACGGGAGGCAGCAGUGAGGAAUAUUGGUCAAUGGGCGAGAGCCUGAACCAGCCAAGUAGCGUGAAGGAUGACUGCCCUAUGGGUUGUAAACUUCUUUUAUAAAGGAAUAAAGUCGGGUAUGGAUACCCGUUUGCAUGUACUUUAUGAAUAAGGAUCGGCUAACUCCGUGCCAGCAGCCGCGGUAAUACGGAGGAUCCGAGCGUUAUCCGGAUUUAUUGGGUUUAAAGGGAGCGUAGAUGGAUGUUUAAGUCAGUUGUGAAAGUUUGCGGCUCAACCGUAAAAUUGCAGUUGAUACUGGAUAUCUUGAGUGCAGUUGAGGCAGGCGGAAUUCGUGGUGUAGCGGUGAAAUGCUUAGAUAUCACGAAGAACUCCGAUUGCGAAGGCAGCCUGCUAAGCUGCAACUGACAUUGAGGCUCGAAAGUGUGGGUAUCAAACAGGAUUAGAUACCCUGGUAGUCCACACGGUAAACGAUGAAUACUCGCUGUUUGCGAUAUACGGCAAGCGGCCAAGCGAAAGCGUUAAGUAUUCCACCUGGGGAGUACGCCGGCAACGGUGAAACUCAAAGGAAUUGACGGGGGCCCGCACAAGCGGAGGAACAUGGUGGUUUAAUUCGAUGAUACGCGAGGAACCUUACCCGGGCUUAAAUUGCAAAUGAAUUUCCGGUGAAAACCGUAACCCGCAAGGAUUCUUUAAAGUGCUCCCAGGGUUGCGUCACCUCUGGCCCGGAGGGUGCGGCUUAAUGGCCUAACAAGGCGAACCCCUUGUUGUCAGUUACUAACAGGUUCUGCUGAGGACUCUGACAAGACUGCCAUCGUAAGAUGUGAGGAAGGUGGGGAUGACGUCAAAUCAGCACGGCCCUUACGUCCGGGGCUACACACGUGUUACAAUGGGGGGUACAGAGGGCCGCUACCACGCGAGUGGAUGCCAAUCCCAAAAACCUCUCUCAGUUCGGACUGGAGUCUGCAACCCGACUCCACGAAGCUGGAUUCGCUAGUAAUCGCGCAUCAGCCACGGCGCGGUGAAUACGUUCCCGGGCCUUGCACACACCGCCCGUC